rnacentral:lncRNA from 1 species
CCUUUUCUAGGGCCGCACCCUUGGCAUAUGGAGGUUCCCAGGCUAGGGGUCCAAUUGGAGCCGUAGCCGCAGGCCUACGCCAGAGCCACAGCAACGCGGGAUCCGAGCCGAGUGUGCAACCUACACCAUAGCUCACGGCAAUGCUGGAUCCUUAACCCACUGAGCAAGGCCAGGGAUUGAACCCGCAACCUCAUGGUUCCUAGUCAGAUUCGUUAACCACUGAGCCACAACGGGAACUCCAUGAGCUGAGUUUUUAAUUGUGUUAAAAUAAAUCAAUUGAAAUAAAAACAAAACCCAGAGUUGUAUGGUUGAGAUUUGCCCACUUUAUUUUAUAUUAAGAAAGACAAUAAAUAAUAGAUGUACCUUACAUUUAAAACAUGAUAGUCCUCUGAUAUUUAUUUUAUGACCUGAAAACAUGUUUUGAAAGGAUAAUCAUUCCUAAGUACGUAUAUAUGUAGGUGUUCUUUCUCUCUCUCUCACACACAUACACACCCCUCACAAUUCUUUACAUUUGCACGUAAACCUGCACUGCCUACUGUCUUGUCCAUCUGUGACCUCAUCCUUAUAAAAAGACAAAGAGCUGCAGCUCAAACGAAGAGAAAUGAAAUUCAUGAGGAAAUGCACAAGAUAUUCUUAUCUAGCUGCGUCUUGUAGCCCAAAAUGUUUUCAAGAGAACAAAAAGACUCCCUUUAAAACAAUCUGAUGUAAAACAACAAAACAAUACCCACAUGCCAUGUGCUUUAAGUUGGAAAAAGGAGUAAGCAGUUUAACCCAUGUUAGUUUUAGAACAAACAGUUCUGCUCCCUUUCCUUUCUUCUGAACACAUCCAAAAAUGGCCAGACUGUUUCAUGGCUCAAGGCCACCACCUGACCUGUGGUUUUACAAGUGCCCUGACUUCCUCAUCAGUAUUUUUAAAAAUUUUUUAUUAUAGCUGAUUGACAGUGUUCUGUCAAUUUUUGUUGUACAGCGAAGGGACCCAGCUACACACAUACAUACAUGCUUUUUCUCACAUUAUCCUCCAUCAUGUUCCAUCACAAGUGAUUAGAUAGAGUUCCCUGUGCUCGACAGCAGGAUCUCAUUAUCCACUCCAAAUUUUAACAAGGCCAAAGUCCAUUUACAGGAAGGAGAGAACAGAGAGGAGGAGGGAGGAGGGGGCUCUGGUCAUUAAGAGCCGGCAGGUGCCGGCAACUGGGGCUCAGGCCCUGGAAGGUGAUCUCCACAGACACGGCCUCUGUUCUCACACCACUUACAGCCUCUGAUGAGGUCAUCGUGGUGGCGACACAGCUGCACACAGUGGGGUCUGUCUGCCUCAGUCUCACGGGAUCAGGGUCACACACUAGACAGGGAGUGUGUGGAAAUCAGCAACAACUGUCUUCCCCAUGGAAGCAAAUGCAAAGGCACAAGGCAGGAAAAGGCCAGACUGUGGACUGGGAGUGUUCAGGGCAGGGCUCAUGUCUAUGUGUACAGGUGUGUAUGGUGUGUGUGUGUGUGUGUGUGUGUGUGUGUGUGUCUGGUGUGUGUAUGAAUGCGAACUCAAAAUCCUGCCAAAUAUAAAAGCCUGCUGGGAGGAGGAGGCCAUGGGCUGGUGGUGUGGUGACAGUGGACAUGGCCGUGGGCAGGUGGUCUGGUGACGACGGAGGUGGCAACGGGCUGAUAGUGUGGUGCACUGGAGGUAGCAGUGGGCUGAUGGUGGGGUGGCAGCCGAGGUGGCCAUGGACUGGUGGUGUGGUGAUCGUGGCCAGGCAGUGACAGAAAAGCAAAUGUAUCAUGACCAGAUGUGCUGCUGUAAGAUGUAUUUUUCAUUCCUCCCAGAGUCAAAGCCGGUCUAAAUGUUUUAAGGUUGCCAGAUGGCUUCUGGAAAAAUCAAGAUGUUGAUGUAUUUGUAUGAGUCCUUAAUACUACACAGAGACCAGAAUCACGGAGCAGUAACCUUAACAACACACCCUCCAAGGCAGCAUUUACGCUACACUAUAUCACUCUUUCAACACUGGGAUCGCCCUUCUGAGGAAAGGGACUCAAACCCCAAUUCCCCGCUCCUGCGGUCCACUCUAUUAGUUACUUCUGUUAUGCUGCAAUUUCCUAAUUGCUCAUUUUGUUAAUUUCCAAGUGUUAGUAGCACUUCUGCUGUGCAAAGUCAUUCAGGAAUUCCAACCUAAAUUAUCUUCACUCACUGACCACGUAGCAAAUAUUUAUCACAUGUGGUGUCCAGACCUCGGCAAGAAAGUAAAGCCAGAAUAAGAUAAAGUGUCCCCUUCUUUCAGGGCACAGCCUGACUCGUGGGCUGUCACAACGGUUCUAAAUAGUAUUUAUGGAUAAGAAAGGUUCCAUGAGCAUUGAGAAGAUCCCCUCUGUUUUUCUGAAUUCACUCUAUUUUGAUAUUUACAUUUUAUUCUUUGCUUCUCCAAAUGGCAUUUGGGCAAAUGCAAAAAUAAGAAAAAUAUACCUAGCAUUUGUCAGAGUUUAUGUACAGAAAUC